CGCAGAGCUUCGGGCCCAUUGCUCGGGCUGUUCUUUGCUACGGCCAGUUUUCCCCCCCAGAACCCAGGUUCUGAUUCGGUGGCAUUGGUAAUACUACAAAACCUAGUUUGUUCGCAUUUCCUGAACCAAACAAACACAGCCCUUUCAUAAGUUGGGGGAGGGAGAUCUAUACAGGUUUACAAGCCCAAGCCUCUCCAUUUUUGGAAGCAGAAAAUUGUAAUCAGCUGCAGUUUCCUUAACCAUCUGUUUCCUUUGAAGAUGUGCUGAGACGUCCAAAUCUGCCCAGCUUGUCAGUUGGAAGGUUGCCCCUUUAAAAAAUUAGGUUGCGGUAAAGGAUGAUAUAUUAGUUUUCUUAUUGCUAGCAUCACAAAUCACCACAAUUGUGGUGGAGUAAAAUGGCAGACAUUUUUUCCUUUCAUGGGUCCGGAGGCCAGAAGUCCAGCAUCGGUAUCAGUGGGCUGAAAUCAAGGUGCCGGCAGGACCCUGUUCCCUCCGGAGGCUCUAGGGGACAAGCCCUCCCUGCCUCUUGCAGAUUCUGGUGGCUGCCGUCAUUCCUUAGCUUGUGGCCACAUCCCUCCAGUCUCUGUGGUCACAUUACCUGCUCUUUGAGUGUUAACUCUUCCCUCUGUCUCUCUCUUAUAAGGGCAUUUGGGAUGGCAUUUAGCUAUCCCCCCCCC